rnacentral:tRNA from 1 species
AGCUCAGUUGGUAGAGUGCCAGGUUGUGGCUCUGGUGGUCAUGGGUUCGAUCCCCAUC